AAGCCUAUGCUCUGAGGGAUCAUUUCUAUAGUUUGGUGCUAGACAGAUGCUUUUGAAAAUGCUUGGUCUUACAUACAACAGUGAAGAGGUAGAAUGCUUUCUUCUAAGCAUGAAACAGGUAGUUGACUAUACUUGUGUACUUUUCUGCUACUGAUGACUGCAUGUGCUAGCCUGUUCAGGAUUUAGAAUCAUGAAGAAAGCAUAAUCUGAGUGGU